UGAGGAAUAUUGGUCAAUGGGCGGAAGCCUGAACCAGCCAUGCCGCGUGCAGGACGACGGCCCUACGGGUUGUAAACUGCUUUUCCGGGGGAAGAAUAACCCCCUGCGGGGGGGAUGCCGGUACCCCGGGAAUAAGGAUCGGCUAACUCCGUGCCAGCAGCCGCGGUAAUACGGAGGAUCCUAGCGUUAUCCGGAUUUACUGGGUUUAAAGGGUGCGUAGGCGGACCCCUAAGUCCGCGGUGAAAGUCUGCGGCUCAACCGUAGGAUUGCCGUGGAUACUGGGGGUCUUGGAUUCGGUCGGGGCGGGCGGAAUGCGUGGUGUAGCGGUGAAAUGCAUAGAUAUCACGCAGAACGCCGAUAGCGAAGGCAGCUCGCCGGGCCGACAUCGACGCUGAGGCA
rnacentral:rRNA from 1 species